rnacentral:sRNA from 12 species
GUCCUAUAUAGAUGUAUCAGCGCAAGCCAGCGGAGCAUCUCCCUGUAGGGCAAAGUUUAAUUAGAAACUCUGACAACAAUUCUCAUUGUAUGGCUACGGUUGAAAUGGGAUGAGUUAGAGUGGAAUAGGUUAACCGUAAGACCUUGAGUUGCAAAAUUCUAAAAUUGAGCUAGGAAUAUGAAUUCCAGAACUUUUAUAUUUCUAGUUACGGUUUG